rnacentral:rRNA from 1 species
AUUGAACGCUGGCGGCAGGCCUAACACAUGCAAGUCGAGCGAGCGGCGGACGGGUGAGUAAUGCCUGGGAAUUGCCCAGUCGAGGGGGAUAACAGUUGGAAACGACUACUAAUACCGCAUACGAUUGGAUUGCCCAGGUGGGAUUAGCUAGUUGGUGAGGUAAUGGCUCACCAAGGCAACGAUCCCUAGCUGGUCUGAGAGGAUGAUCAGGCAAACUGCAAAUGAGACACGGUCAAGACUCCUACGGGAGUCAGCCGUGGGGAAUAUUGCACAAUGGGUGAAACCCUGCUGCAGCCAUGCCGCGUGUGUGAAGAAGUCCAUCGGGUUGUAAAGCACUUUCGGCGAGGAGGCGUUCCUCGCAGAAGAAGCACCGGCUACCUCCGUGCCAGCAGCCGCGGUAAUUC